GAUGAACGCUAGCGGCAGGCCUAAUACAUGCAAGUCGAACGGUGUCUUCGGACAUAGUGGCGCACGGGUGCGUAACACGUAUGCAACCUACCUUACAUUGGGGGAUAGCCUUUCGAAAGGGAGAUUAAUACCGCAUAAGACAGUAGCUGGGCAUCCAGCAGCUGUUAAAGAUUUAUCGAUGUAAGCUGGGCAUGCGUCCAAUUAGCUAGUUGGUGAGGUAACGGCUCACCAAGGCAAUGAUUGGUAGGGGAACUGAGGGGUCAAUCCCCCACACUGGCACUGAGAUACGGGCCAGACUCCUACGGGAGGCAGCAGUAGGGAAUAUUGGGCAAUGGACGCAAGUCUGACCCAGCCAUGCCGCGUGCUGGAUGAAGGCGUUAUGCGUUGUAAACUGCUUUUAUACAGGAAGAAACGACUCUUGCGAGAGGCAUUGACGGUACUGUAUGAAUAAGCACCGGCUAACUCCGUGCCAGCAGCCGCAGUAAAAC
rnacentral:rRNA from 1 species